rnacentral:lncRNA from 1 species
UUGGCACUUCCAAAACUUUUGUCUACUGCAGCUGGAUGUCAAAUGGCUGGAUUCUUUCCUUUUACAGCUUCACAGAAUGGAAGUGGAGGCAUAGCUGGGAGUCUCCAGAGAGGAGUGACUUCAUUCCUACCUUGCCUUGUCAUGGAAAACAAAGGAAAGUGGACAAAAGGAUAAAUACUGCUGAAGUGCUUGAUCCAGGACAAAAUCUGAAGCUGGAAUAGAAGUGAUCCACCUCAGACUUUGUUGAAGGAACAUAGAAUCAUGGAAUGGCUGAGGUUGGGAGAGGCAGCUGGAGGAAUUCUCGUUCAACCUGCUCCUUGUCAAGCAAGAACACCAAAAAACAGGUGAGCAGGGUCAUGUCUCAGUCUUCCUGAUUAUUAUUUUAUUUAACAGAACUUGCUUUCCUUAGUUUCUG